AACGAACGCUGGCGGCAUGCCUAACACAUGCAAGUCGAACGAGACCUUCGGGUCUAGUGGCGCACGGGUGCGUAACGCGUGGGAACCUGCCCUUAGGUUCGGAAUAACUCCCCGAAAGGGGUGCUAAUACCGGAUAAUGUCUUCGGACCAAGGAUUUAUCGCCUUUGGAUGGGCCCGCGUUGGAUUAGCUAGUUGUUAGGGUAAAAGCCUACCAAGGCGACGAUCCAUAGCUGGUCUGAGAGGAUGAUCAGCCACACUGGGACUGAGACACGGCCCAGACUCCUACGGGAGGCAGCAGUGGGGAAUAUUGGAAAGUGGGCGAAAGGCUGAUCCAGCAAUGCCGCGUGAGUGAUGAAGGCCUUAGAGUUGUAAAGCGCUUUUACCCGGGAUGAUAAUGACAGUACCGGGAGAAUAAGCUACGGCUAACUCCGUG
rnacentral:rRNA from 1 species